AACGUCAAACGUGACAAGGUCCAAUUAAACAGUAAUUAAAAUACAUUCCCAAGGUUCAAACAAUUUGAUUUUAACGCCUUAUCAUAUAGCUCAAUUAUCGUUUAAGGCAUAAGUCCAAAGUCAUCCAUUUCAUAACUACUUAAACACAUUUAAAUAAUCAUGAUGGAAUGCAACAUAAACAUUUAGAUUUAGGGCAUAUGGGCAUAAUAAUAUUAUGAGUUUAAACAACUAACAAAAUUAAAAUCAAAUAUUUUAACUUUCUAGUUAGUAGGGGCCUAAAUGUAAAUAUGAAAAGUUAGGGGUAAAACCGUAAAUAUUUCAAAGUAAAUAUCAACUUUUCAAAGAUUACAAAAUAGCCCCACAAGUGGAUAAAUCCACUAGGGAGGCCGGCCAUUCAAUGGGAGGGUGGGAAGUCUCACCUACAUGCUACAAUUUAAUGCAAAGUAUAAAAAAAUCCAAAUUUGCAUGUCACUUGGUUUUGGCAUUAAAAGGCUUUAAUGAGAAAGGUGAUGGAAAUCUCCUAGACAAGUCUAGGGUUUUUAUAAGUUUUAAUAUGGUUAUGGAUGGUAAGAACAUCAUCCAAAACCAUAAAACUAUGCAUGAAAACCAAUUAAAACCAUUUUCACCCAAAACCAAACCAUGAACACCAAGAACAAAACCAUGAACACAAUUUCAAGAUUUGUACAUUCUUGGUGAUUUUUCAAACCCAAAAACAAAAGUGACAAGAACACUUCUUUUAAGCUUUAAUAGGAUGUGUGAGUGGUUUACAAUAAAACACAAACACAACCCAAAACCACUCCCAAAACCGUGCCUACCCUUAGCAACAAAACCCCAAAUUUUGUUCAUGACUUAUUCUUCAUUUAUGCAUACAAAACAACUUUUACAUGCAUAUCUUUUUCAACUCUUGAUUUACAUUUUUCAACCAUUGAAAAACAAAAGACAAACAUACUUUUAAAUGAAGAAAUAAUAUGUCAAACUAGUUCUAAACUCAUUUUUCAUUCAUGCAUACAAAACACUUUUGCAUACAUAUCUCUCAACUUUUGACUAACAUUUUUCAACUAUUGAAAAAACAAAAGAUAAACAUACUUUGAAUGAAACAAUACUAUGUCAUACAUAACAUUAAUACCCAUAUGCAUAAAAUCCAAAAGGACACAUUAUACAUAAACCUUUGGCUCUGAUACCACUUGAAGGGAAAUCUUUGAGAUUCUAGCAUGGGAUUUCAUAAUGACUAUCAUGCAUAUUCAAAUCAAAUUUAAUAUACG
rnacentral:lncRNA from 1 species